rnacentral:lncRNA from 1 species
GGAUUAAAAAAAAAUGUUAAGACUUCAGACAAUUUAAUAGGAUUACUGAUUUUAUUUCAAUGUUAUCUUAUUGUUCUUGUUAUUGCAAAUCUAAAAGACAUCAUUUUCAACAAAAUUACAAAACCAAACAAUAGAACUAUAGAGAUUUCAACUCUAAAAAGUACUAUAAUUAUUUCACCCUCUAAUUCUCAAUUUUGAGCUCACACUAGGAAAUUAAACGGAAAUAAUCAGCACAAAUAGUCGGUUUCAGAUUAAGUUUAAGGAAUCAAAUCGAUAAAGAUGUAUAUCAGACUUGCCAUUAACGGAUUGCAAAUUGCAAACAUGAAAAUGAGGUUAGAUGAAUAAUAGGUAGAGAACUAACAGGUAUCCUUCUUCGCGGACCUCCCUGAGGAAAUUUCCGAUGCCCUUUUCUCUGAUUGACUUGAAAAUGCCCCACAACAACAAGAAUAUGGAAUAAUAGGUAGAGAACUAACAGGUAUCCUUCUUCGCGGACCUCCCUGAGGAAAUUUCCGAUGCCCUUUUCUCUGAUUGACUUGAAAAUGCCCCUCACUACCGACGCCAUUCUCUUCUGCUUCGUUCUCUGAAUUCUGAAACUCCAC